rnacentral:rRNA from 1 species
GAUGAACGCUGGCGGCGUGCCUAAUACAUGCAAGUCGAGCGAACAGACGAGGAGCUUGCUCCUCUGACGUUAGCGGCGGACGGGUGGGUAACACGUGGAUAACCUACCUAUAAGACUGGGAUAACUUCGGGAAACCGGAGCUAAUACCGGAUAAUAUAUUGAACCGCAUGGUUCAAUAGUGAAAGACGGUUUUGCUGUCACUUAUAGAUGGAUCCGCGCCGCAUUAGCUAGUUGGUAAGGUAACGGCUUACCAAGGCAACGAUGCGUAGCCGACCUGAGAGGGUGAUCGGCCACACUGGAACUGAGACACGGUCCAGACUCCUACGGGAGGCAGCAGUAGGGAAUCUUCCGCAAUGGGCGAAAGCCUGACGGAGCAACGCCGCGUGAGUGAUGAAGGUCUUCGGAUCGUAAAACUCUGUUAUUUAGGGAAGAACAAAUGUGUAAGUAACUAUGCACGUCUUGACGGUACCUAAUCAGAAAGCCACGGCUAACUACGUG